GAUGAAGAACGCAGCGAAAUGCGAUACUUGGUGUGAAUUGCAGAAUCCCGUGAACCAUCGAGUCUUUGAACGCAGGUUGCGCCUCAAGCCAUUAGGUUGAGGGCACGUCUGCCUGGGCGUCACAUAUCGUUGCCUGAUGCCAGUUUCCUCGUGAUGGGUGACUGUGCAGGGCGAAUGAUGGCUUCCCGUGAGCAUUGUUGCCUCAUGGUUGGUUGAAAAUUGAGUCCUUGGUAGGGAGCGCCGUGAUAGAUGGUGGUUGAGUGACGAACGAGACCCAAUCAUGUGAGACCCCUACCGAAUUUGGCCUUCAUGACCCACAUGCGUCUUUGGAACGCUCAUGACGAGACCUCAGGUCAGGCGGGGCUACCCGCUGAGUUUAAGCAUAUCAAUAAGCGGAGGA
rnacentral:misc_RNA from 1 species